rnacentral:sRNA from 1 species
UCGUGUCUUUCGACGCGGCAGGCCCCGAAA